GAGCGGUAGAGAGAAGCUUGCUUCUCUUGAGAGCGGCGGACGGGUGAGUAAUGCCUAGGAAUCUGCCUGGUAGUGGGGGAUAACGUUCGGAAACGGACGCUAAUACCGCAUACGUCCUACGGGAGAAAGCAGGGGACCUUCGGGCCUUGCGCUAUCAGAUGAGCCUAGGUCGGAUUAGCUAGUUGGUGAGGUAAUGGCUCACCAAGGCGACGAUCCGUAACUGGUCUGAGAGGAUGAUCAGUCACACUGGAACUGUGACACGGUCCAGACUCCUACGGGAGGCAGCAGUGGGGAAUAUUGGACAAUGGGCGAAAGCCUGAUCCAGCCAUGCCGCGUGUGUGAAGAAGGUCUUCGGAUUGUAAAGCACUUUAAGUUGGGAGGAAGGGCAGUUGCCUAAUACGUAACUGUUUUGACGUUACCGACAGAAUAAGCACCGGCUGACUCUGUG
rnacentral:rRNA from 1 species